rnacentral:rRNA from 1 species
GAUGAACGCUAGCUACAGGCUUAACACAUGCAAGUCGCGGGGCAGCAUGGGGGUUGCUUGCCAUCCCCGAUGGCGACCGGCGCACGGGUGAGUAACGCGUAUCCAACCUGCCCUUCACCACGGGCUAACCCGGCGAAAGUCGGACUAAUACCGUAUGUUGUCCAUUGACGGCAUCCGAUUUGGACGAAAGGCUUGGCGGUGAGGGAUGGGGAUGCGUCCGAUUAGCCAGACGGCGGGGUAACGGCCCACCGUGGCUACGAUCGGUAGGGGUUCUGAGAGGAAGGUCCCCCACACUGGAACUGAGACACGGUCCAGACUCCUACGGGAGGCAGCAGUGAGGAAUAUUGGUCAAUGGGCGUAAGCCUGAACCAGCCAAGUAGCGUGCAGGAUGACGGCCCUAUGGGUUGUAAACUGCUUUUAUGCGGGGAUAAAGUGGCCCACGUGUGGGCUUUUGCAGGUACCGCAUGAAUAAGGACCGGCUAAUUCCGUG